rnacentral:rRNA from 1 species
CGCGUAGGAAACUACCCAGUAGUGGGGACGAACAGUUGGAACGGAACUGCUAAUACCGCAUACGCUCUACGGAGGAAAGGGGGCGUUCGGCGUCUCGCUAUUGGAUGUGCCUGCGUGAGAUUAGCUAGUUGGUGGGGUAAAGGGCCGUACCAACGGCAACGAUCUCUAGCUGGUCUGAGAGGAUGAUCAGCCACACUGGGACUGAGACACGGCCCAGACUCCUACGGGAGGCAGCAGUGGGGAUAUUGGACAAUGGGCGCAAGCCUGAUCCAGCCAUGCCGCGUGUGUGAAAGAAGGCUU